rnacentral:rRNA from 1 species
UACGAAGGGGGCUAGCGUUGUUCGGCAUUACUGGGCGUAAAGCGCACGUAGGCGGCUCUGUAAGUUGGGGGUGAAAUCCCGAGGCUCAACCUCGGAAUUGCCUUCAAGACUGCAGGGCUUGAGUUCGGGAGAGGUCAGCGGAAUUCCCAGUGUAGAGGGGAAAUUCGUAGAGAUUGGGAAGAACUCCAGUGGCGAAGGCGGCUCUCUGGCCGGUAACUGACGCUGAGGUGCGAAAGCGUGGGGAGCAAAUAGG